CCUACGGGAGGCAGCAGUGGGGAAUAUUGCACAAUGGGCGCAAGCCUGAUGCAGCGACGCCGCGUGAGGGAUGACGGCCUUCGGGUUGUAAACCUCUUUCAGUAGGGAAGAAGCGAAAGUGACGGUACCUGCAGAAGAAGCGCCGGCUAACUACGUGCCAGCAGCCGCGGUAAUACGUAGGGCGCAAGCGUUAUCCGGAAUUAUUGGGCGUAAAGAGCUCGUAGGCGGUUUGUCGCGUCUGCCGUGAAAGUCCGGGGCUCAACUCCGGAUCUGCGGUGGGUACGGGCAGGCUAGAGUGAUGUAGGGGAGACUGGAAUUCCUGGUGUAGCGGUGAAAUGCGCAGAUAUCAGGAGGAACACCGAUGGCGAAGGCAGGUCUCUGGGCAUUAACUGACGCUGAGGAGCGAAAGCAUGGGGAGCGAACAGGAUUAGAUACCCUGGUAGUCCAUGCCGUAAACGUUGGGCACUAGGUGUGGGGGACAUUCCACGUUUUCCGCGCCGUAGCUAACGCAUUAAGUGCCCCGCCUGGGGAGGUACGGCCGCGAGACGAAACUACGAAGAAGUAGACGCGUGAGACGUCGCCGACGACGACGACGAGGGAGAGG
rnacentral:rRNA from 1 species